rnacentral:misc_RNA from 1 species
GAUGAAGAACGUAGUGAAAUGCGAUAAGUAAUGUGAAUUGCAGAAUUCAGUGAAUCAUCGAAUCUUUGAACGCACCUUGCACCCUUUGGUAUUCCGAAGGGUAUGCUCGUUUGAGUGUCAUUGUACUCUCACACUUCUAAUUCCUUUCGGGAUUGGGAGCGGUGGACUUGGGUGUUGCUGCUUUAGUUGUGGCUCACCUCAAAUAAGUUAGUGCAACUCUUGGUUGGACAUAGUACGGUGUGAUAAGUGUCUUCGCCGGCGCCUCUGUAAGGAGGGUGGCCGAUCGGGAGCUCUGUGCUUCAAACCGUCUUCGGACAAUCUUUGACAACUUGACCUCAAAUCGAGUAGGACUACCCGCUGAACUUAAGCAUAUCAAUAAGCGGAGGA